UCCUAGCUGAGUGGGUUGGCUAUUUCGUACUGCAGCGCCAGGCGCUGAGAGCAGAUUGCUUGCGAUUUCAAACCCUCCUCUUCAGUCUCUUGGUGGGUUUUUUUCCUUGUUUUAAAAAUUGGAUUGAAACGGGAUUUCAUUAGCCACACACAGACAUGAACGUCGAUUGGCUCCUGCUGCCUAGGGAGGAGGACUCUUUUUACCCCCAACUCCAGGAUAUGGACAAAAAGGCUGAAAUAAGGGGGUGUUGGCAGUUUAUUUCCUCGCACUUGGGAGGGUUCCACUAACAGCUGGUUUUUUUUAAUCAGCUCGUUUUGAAGUCAGUUUAUUUUGAGGUUUCUCCCCCCUCCCCCCCGUUCCCUACGCUCGAGAAGAUUUCCACUGUUUGGGGUGAGGCUGUCAAUGUGCUGAACCGGUGCCUGGCUGCGACAAUGGACUGGAUGAGGGCUAAUAAACUGAGGCUCAAUCCAGACAAGACUGAGAUGCUGCUAGUUGGUGGUUCUUCUGACCAGAUGGUGGAUGUCCAGCCUGUCCUGGAUGGGGUUGCACUCUCCCUGAAGGAGCAGAGCAAGGCAUCUUGGAGCAAGUGACAUACCCUACAUGGGAGACACCCAUUGUCACUCCAUUGAAGGCAAAUGGCAACAUCCGCAUUUGUGGUGACUACAAGUGCACCAUCAAUAAAGCCCUGCAUCAGCAUCCAUAUCCAAUCCCAAUGGUGAGUCAUCGUUUGGCAUCACUUUCACAAGGAAAAGUUUUUGCAAAGUUUGACCUGGCCCAGGCCUAUCAGCAACUGUCCGUGUAUGAUGCUAUUGCCGAUGCUCAGACUAUCUCCACUCAUCGUGGAGCACUGAGAGUAAAACGCCUCCAGUUUGGUGUUUCAGUGGCCCCUGGAAUUUUUCAGAGCUUAAUGGAGACAAUUCUCAAAGGAGUACCAGGUGUCAUACCUUAUUUUGAUGAUGUCUUGGUUGCUGGCAACUCCAUUGCUGAACUUGCCUCACGGAUGCGGGAUGUGCUGCACCAUUUUGCUGUUGCUGGUCUGGGUCAAGCAUGAGAAAUGUGUAUUUGGUGUUUCCCAAAAUGAAUUCCUUGGCUACAGUAUUGAUGACGCUAGCAUUCGGCCUACCCCCCAAAAAUUAAAAGCAAUUCAUGACGCUCCAGUGCCCCGUAAUAAACAGGAACUCCAAGCCUUCUUGGGACUCUUGAAUUUCUAUCACGCUGUUGUGCCCCAGGCACAAGAGGAGCUAGCUCAGGGAGAGAAGUCAGAUGAGGAUGAGGCCCCUGGGAACGCUGAAGGAAGGGGGAGCACUGUCAGUCCACAGACUUCCCCGGCUAGCCCCCCCCAUUGAGGCCUGAGAGUUCCUCACCUGAGCCAUUGGGAAGCGACCUUGCGUGUGCCAACCCCACCCCCCAGAGGAAUCCCCACCUGGCACUUCAAACGCCUCCCCGCCAACCAGCUUCCCGCUCCCUGACGCCGAGCCAUCACAUAGCGAAGCCUCACUGUCAGAUGGGCCACUGGAGGCUCACCCCCCUCACCCUGCGCGAGACAGUGCGAGAAGAGAGACUUUCAGAGGGUGGAACUUCAGAGGAGCCGUCGUUUACAAGCGAAGACCUUACCUACUUAAGCAGGUGCCCACCCAGACUCUAGUGCUGAGUCAACUCUCCCCACAUGCUGCAGAGACUGCUUAGGUAGCUUAGCUAGGGAAAGUAGUGAGCUAAGCCAGGUUCACAUGGGAGCUAAAAUCCAUAUUGAAUAUGAAGCUUUUUCCUUCACAAUAGAGUUCCAUGGUUCACACAUGUCCAUCCUCCCUACCUUCCAAUUUGCUGCUUUGCUGUUUUGCAUUCACACAUGUUCGCAUUUAUUAGCAUCGCUGUUUCCUUGUGGCCCUGUCCCCAAAUUUACAUGUUAACUCCCUCCGGAACAUCCCCAUCGCUAAUCAAGAAGGGGAGGGGUUUUCUGUCAAUUUCACACUAAGCCGGGAGACAGUGGGGGGUAAAACAGACACCAAAUUACUUUUUUUCUGUUGUCAGUUUCAUUUCCUCUAGACAAAGCCCUUUUUUGUGAAGAAGGAAUGAAAUGUUUAUAGUGCGCAGUGUGUAUAUUUUUGUGUUUGUGUGUGUUUGCGCACACAACCUCUUUAUGAACGAGACCUUAGAUGCAACAGGGCUUCUGCAGGAGCUUUUCCUUGGCUGCAUUCCAGCUGGAAAGUGUUAGAUGGGGGGUUGGGUCGACCCCCCUCUCCUUCCCCUCCAGAAAACCAAGCAGGGCCUCCCUGGCGCAUCCCACGGCAAGUCCUGCUCUCUGGGCUGCAUCUCUUCCUUCCUCCUCGGUGCCUUUGCUGGCCGGCAGGACUGCUUGCCAUCACUGCCGCCACGUGCCUGCCUGAGCACCGGCCCUAAAUACCCUGGCACGGAGCAAAGCGUCUCCUCCUCCCCCAGCAGAGACAGGCACAGGGGAGAGUGGCAGCCCAGCGCCCCUUCUCUUCCCUUGCUUCCCCCGCCCGGUUCGUACAGUAAAGGAGCGAGUAAAUAGAGAGCAUAGCUGGUUUAAAGGACCAAGGGACGGAACUUGCUGGGGGGAAGUGGGGGAAAUGAAGGCUAGAGCCCCUGGAAGUUUGUUCGUCAACAGCAGGAAACAAAAUGAUGUCCAUAGACAGUGUAGGGGGUGGAGAAAGUGAGGAUCUAAAAUGGCAAACAACCCGUGCAGUCAAAAACAGCGGAGAAAGCAACCACACACCGGAUGGGCACUGAAGCGGGUGCGGAUUUUCAAACCAGUUUCAGAUUUUUAUUGCAUUGAUUUAAUCCAGAUUUAAAGGCAAUAGCAGCUGAAUGCACUUGCGUUGGCAAAAACAUUGUGCAAACGGUCCAAAUUAAAAUAAUGUAAAUGUACUGCCUUCAAGUCAAUUCUGACUUAUGGCGACCCUAUGAAUAGGGUUUUCAUGAGGCUGAGAGGCAGUGAGUGGCCCAAAGUCACCCAGUGAGCUUCAUGGUUAUGUGGGGAUUUGAACCCUGGUCUCCCAGGUCUGCAUUAACCCUCAGUGUGAUGGAGACCCUAGACAGGUUUAUGAAGCACACUGCUUUGGAUGUAACCAUCACACUAAUAAAAUGAGAAUUGAACCAA